ensembl:lncRNA
UAGAGAAGGGGAAGAUGGCAUUUGAGAUUGAGCAAACCCUUGAAAAGGCAGCUGGAACAUGGACUGAGUGACGCCACCAAGCGUCUUCCUGAAGAACUACACUCAGCAUCAAGCUGCCAUAGCUUUGAACUGUGUCUGUGAGCAUCUGUGCUUUGUCUCGAUAUGUUCUUUGCAUCCCUUAUUAAGAUGAAUCUCAAGGGAUCAGAAACAUACCUGUAAUUGAGAGACUGUUCCAGAUUAAAGAAGGCAGAAGACAUAAUGACUGAAUGCCAUGUGUGAGCCAGGAUUUGUUGAGAACAUGAGUGAUGAAAUUUGAAUAAAUUCUUCAGAUUAAUUAAUGAUUCCAUGUUAAUGUUAAUUUUAUGAUUUUGAAAAAUGGGACUUUGGAAAUAGAUGGGAAUGUCUGCUUAUUUUGAGAAAAUACAUGAAUAUAUUUAAGAAUAAAGGGACAGAAUUUCUGCAGAAUAUCUCAAACAAUUCAAAAAAGAGGGAGAGAAAAAAAUAACAAAG